UACGGGGGGGGCAAGCGUUGUUCGGAAUUACUGGGCGUAAAGGGCUCGUAGGCGGUCAACUAAGUCGGACGUGAAAUCCCCAGGCUCAACCUGGGAACUGCGUCCGAUACUGGAUGGCUUGAAUCCGGGAGAGGGAUGCAGAAUUCCAGGUGUAGCGGUGAAAUGCGUAGAUAUCUGGAGGAAUACCGGUGGCGAAGGCGGCAUCCUGGACCGGCAUUGACGCUGAGGAGCGAAAGCUAGGGGAGCAAACGGG
rnacentral:rRNA from 1 species